rnacentral:rRNA from 1 species
GACGAACGCUGGCGGCGUGCCUAAUACAUGCAAGUUGAGCGCUGAAGGUUGGUACUUGUCCCAACUGGAUGAGCAGCGAACGGGUGAGUAACGCGUGGGGAAUCUGCCUUUGAGCGGGGGACAACAUUUGGAAACGAAUGCUAAUACCGCAUAAAAACUUUAAACACAAGUUUUAAGUUUGAAAGAUGCAAUUGCAUCACUCAAAGAUGAUCCCGCGUUGUAUUAGCUAGUUGGUGAGGUAAAGGCUCACCAAGGCGAUGAUACAUAGCCGACCUGAGAGGGUGAUCGGCCACAUUGGGACUGAGACACGGCCCAAACUCCUACGGGAGGCAGCAGUAGGGAAUCUUCGGCAAUGGACGAAAGUCUGACCGAGCAACGCCGCGUGAGUGAAGAAGGUUUUCGGAUCGUAAAACUCUGUUGGUAGAGAAGAACGCUGGUGAGAGUGGAAAGCUCAUCAAGUGACGGUAACUACCCAGAAAGGGACGGCUAACUACGUG